rnacentral:tRNA from 1 species
GCCUCCUUAGCUUAGUCGGUAGAGCAUCCGCUUAGUAAGCGGAAGGUCGCCGGUU